GAUGAAGAACGUAGCGGAAUGCGAUACGUAAUGUGAAUUGCAGAAUUCAGUGAAUCAUCGAGUCUUUGAACGCACAUUGCGCCCCCUGGUAUUCCGGGGGGCAUGCCUGUCCGAGCGUCAUUGCUGCCCUCAAGCACGGCUUGUGUGUUGGGCCUCCGUCCUCCUCCCGGGGGACGGGCCCGAAAGGCAGCGGCGGCACCGCGUCCGGUCCUCGAGCGUAUGGGGCUUCGUCACCCGCUCUUGUAGGCCCGGCCGGCGCUUGCCGACACAUCAAUCUUUUUUCCAGGUUGACCUCGGAUCAGGUAGGAAUACCCGCUGAACUUAAGCAUAUCAAUAAGCGGAGGA
rnacentral:misc_RNA from 1 species